rnacentral:rRNA from 1 species
UGGGGAAUAUUGCACAAUGGGGGAAACCCUGAUGCAGCAACGCCGCGUGAGUGAUGACGGCCUUCGGGUUGUAAAGCUCUGUCUUCAGGGACGAUAAUGACGGUACCUGAGGAGGAAGCCACGGCUAACUACGUGCCAGCAGCCGCGGUAAUACGUAGGUGGCGAGCGUUGUACGGAUUUACUGGGCGUAAAGGGAGCGUAGGCGUACUUUUAAGUGAGAUGUGAAAUACCCGGGCUCAACUGGGGUGCUGCAUUUCAAACUGGAAGGCUAGAGUGCAGGAGAGGAGAAUGGAAUUCCUAGUGUAGCGGUGAAAUUCGUAGAGAUUAGGAAGAACACCAGUGGCGAAGGCGAUUCUCUGGACUGUAACUGACGCUGAGGCUCGAAAGCGUGGGGAGCAAACA